rnacentral:rRNA from 1 species
UACGUAGGGGCCGAGCGUUGUCCGGAGUUAUUGGGCGUAAAGCGCGCGCAGGCGGCCUCGCGCGCCCGACGUGAAAGCCCCCGGCUUAACCGGGGAGGGUCGUUGGGGACGGCGGGGCUUGAGGGCGGGAGAGGGCGGUGGAAUUCCCGGUGUAGUGGUGGAAUGCGUAGAGAUCGGGAGGAACACCAGUGGCGAAGGCGGCGAUCUGGGAAGAUACUGACGCUGAGGUGCGAAAGCGUGGGGAGCAAACAGG